UGGGGAAUUUUGGACAAUGGGCGCAAGCCUGAUCCAGCAAUGCCGCGUGCAGGAUGAAGGCCUUCGGGUUGUAAACUGCUUUUGUACGGAACGAAACGGCUCUGUCUAAUACAUGGGGCUAAUGACGGUACCGUAAGAAUAAGCACCGGCUAACUACGUGCCAGCAGCCGCGGUAAUACGUAGGGUGCGUGUGUUAAUCGGAAUUACUGGGCGUAAAGCGUGCGCAGGCGGUUAUAUAAGACAGAUGUGAAAUCCCCGGGCUCAACCUGGGACCUGCAUUUGUGACUGUAUAGCUAGAGUACGGUAGAGGGGGAUGGAAUUCCGCGUGUAGCAGUGAAAUGCGUAGAUAUGCGGAGGAACACCGAUGGCGAAGGCAGCCUCCUGGGCCAGUACUGACGCUCAUGCACGAAAGCGUGGGGAGCAAACA
rnacentral:rRNA from 1 species